rnacentral:rRNA from 1 species
GACGAACGCUGGCGGCGUGCUUAACACAUGCAAGUCGAACGGAAAGGCCCUGCUUUUGUGGGGUGCUCGAGUGGCGAACGGGUGAGUAACACGUGAGUAACCUGCCCUUGACUUUGGGAUAACUUCAGGAAACUGGGGCUAAUACCGGAUAGGAGCUCCUGCUGCAUGGUGGGGGUUGGAAAGUUUCGGCGGUUGGGGAUGGACUCGCGGCUUAUCAGCUUGUUGGUGGGGUAGUGGCUUACCAAGGCUUUGACGGGUAGCCGGCCUGAGAGGGUGACCGGCCACAUUGGGACUGAGAUACGGCCCAGACUCCUACGGAAGGCAGCAGUGGGGAAUAUUGCACAAUGGGCGGAAGCCUGAUGCAGCAACGCCGCGUGCGGGAUGACGGCCUUCGGGUUGUAAGCCGCUUUCGCCUGUGACGAAGCGUGAGUGACGGUAAUGUGUAAAGAAGCACCGGCUAACUACGUG